rnacentral:rRNA from 1 species
GAGUUUGAUCCUGGCUCAGAACGAACGCUGGCGGCGUGCUUAACACAUGCAAGUCGAGUGCGCGUGCCGUAGCAAUACGGUAUGGCGCACGGCGCACGGGUGCGUAACACGUGGGCAAUCUGCCCUUCGAUGGGGAAUAACCUCGCGAAAGCGAGGCUAAUUCCGCAUAACAUUCCUUGGACUUCGGUUCGAGGACUCAAAGCCGUAAGGCGUCGAAGGAGGAGCCCGCGCACGAUUAGCUAGUUGGUAGGGUAACGGCCUACCAAGGCUUUGAUCGUUAGCUGGUCUGAGAGGAUGGCCAGCCACACUGGAACUGAGACACGGUCCAGACUCCUACGGGAGGCAGCAGUGGGGAAUCUUGCACAAUGGGCGAAAGCCUGAUGCAGCGACGCCGCGUGGGGGAUGAAGCAUUUCGGUGUGUAAACCCCUUUCGACCCGGACGAAUGCCUCGCAAGAGGAGUGACGGUACGGGUAUAAGAAGCCCCGGCUAACUACG